GCAGAGGAUCAGAGGGCUCAAUGCAUUGCCUUCCCUCCACAGCCUUCACACUGACAAACCAUGAGCUGGGUGAAAGCCAACCAUUCUCAGAGCUGGAUUCUUGCACAGGGAUAUUAGCAGAUGAUGGCAAUCUCCUGUGAUCUACCUCCUCUGCCACACAGACGGACCAUUGUCAGUUCUCUACAGGACAGCUGGAAAGUCUAGCACCUUUCUGCAAGGACAUUGACCUAAGGAUAAGGAAACUUAUGUUGCUCCAGUCUGUACCCUGUCAUGAUCCUACAAGCAGCUGGAAGGCUCCCACAUCUGUUGGCAAAGAGAGGUCCACACCACCCACCUUCUCUGUGUGCAACUUCUUUGUGUGGAACCUCUUUGCAAACACAUGAGGGAAAAGCAGAAUUUACUUCAUCAAGAA